rnacentral:piRNA from 1 species
GAAUUAGCAAUGCCAAGAGAGG